AUAGAACUUACCGGAGUGAAAAUGUCGGGAGCACACCAACAGACAUUUGGAGAUGGAAGAGAACUGGAGAUCAACUCGUCCCACGGCUGCUAUCCAGGCUAGACGCCUUUUUUUGUGUGUUUGUACAGGUGGCUAUGGAACUGGAUCAACGCCCUCCACAAGCACAGCGGCCGGAGCAAAAUGAUAGAUUAACAUAAUUGGAACCACACCCAGCCCGUGUUUUGACUGAAUAUUACACAGCUUCACUCCAUGUACACCUUACACUGAAGAACAAGCUUCGAGCUCAACCGAUCUCUCCCUGAAGACAAAAUGCAGUUUGAGAGCAACGGGGUCGACUUCAAGACUCAACAAUGUGAACACACAGCAACACUGCCCUAAACCUUAAAGGGUCCAGCAGCAUGUACCAUGGAUGGAUGGAAGUAUGCACUCCCAAUCACAAGCUGGGAGGUUCGCCAGCGACAUCGCUGUGUGUGAAUGGACUUGAGAAGACUGUCUGAGUUUCAUAUUUGCCAUACUGGGAGCUGAAAUGGCAAAGGAAGAGACUGAAAAGAGUGAAAGACAAAAGGCAAAGCUGAAGAAGACACGCCACAACUGUGAACUGCUGCAGAUGCAGGAGAGAGACAGAAGCUGUGAGAAGUGGGGAGAAGAGAGCAUGGAGGAAAAAUGAAGUCUGUUGUUGUUAAUGUGAGAACACAUGAAAAUUGGGUUGGAAAACUGUGGCCGGCUGUCAUGUGGAGGUUGAUAAAGAGUCCGUAGGAUCGCAACAAAGGUAAAA